rnacentral:lncRNA from 1 species
AUUCAAGAUUCCACACUUAGCUGAUGAUUGAUAAUAAAGGCACACUGUGCCAGGAGAGAGCCCUGAGCUCAGAAGAUCCUUGAGGCUGGGGCUGCCUCCUGUUUCAUUGGGAGAGAGGGAAGUCUGAGCUCAGAAAACAAGAAACCCGCAAUGGUUUGGAACCACUUGAGGGUGAGUAAAUAGCGAAUGCAUUUUCAUUUUUGGGUGAACUAUCCCUCUUAAGAGUCUCAACUUAAUGUUGACCUACUGUUCUUUUUACUUCAAACAUUUUUUAUUUCAGUACCAUCCUGUAAAUCU